CAGCAAUGUACGGUGGUAAUGUCAAGUCCGGAUAUUUGUGCAACUGUUUGUGCGACUUACGAGGAGGAAACUAAAAACACCGAUACUGAAGAUUCAGGGUCUUUAUACAGAUGGUCCGAAUCGUGUGUACUGUUACUGUUGGAAAAUAUAAGGAGUCUGAAAAAAAAUUUUCUGAUGGGAAACGUUAGCAUAAAAAAAUUUAGGAUGAAAUUGCCAAAGUUAUGAGUAAGAAGGGGCAUAUAGUAACGGGACCACAAUGUGCAGCUGAAUUACGCAGUUUGGAAAAAACAUAUAAAUCAAUAAAAGAUGACAAUAAUAAAUCAGGAAACAAUAGAAGAACAUGGCAGUUUUUUAUGAUCAUAGACGACAUAUUUGCCAAAAAGACAUGGUAUAUCCCAGUGGCAACCGCAUCGUCUACGGGUCUAUCCAUCACACGUACCGAAGGAAGCAAUGCAGAUUCAAAGCAAUCCAAUAAACAUUAGGAUAUUCUAUGUACG